CACAAGAAACAAAAUGUAGUAUCUUGUGAUAACGACAUCUAUUAUCACGUUAUCAUAAGUGAUAAUGAGACUAUGGAUGUUGUUAUUAUAAAAACAGACAAAAAGUGAGGUGUAUGCAGCUCUCAGCUUCUUUAGAACUGUAUGAGUUACCAGAUAAGUUUUUGGAAGUGUCAUCAACUAACCAACAGGUGGCAAUAUUGAACUUCAUCUUCUCUUCUUUGGGCACCAGUUUGGCCUCCUAACAAAUAAGGUUUUUAAAGUGUUCAUUUUUGUAGAGUUUUCUAGUUCAGUUUCUCCUUUUAUUCUGAAAAGUUGUUCGCUUUUCUGUUAGCUUCCUGUUUGGCCUCCAUCUGUGGGCUCAUUCUGACCUUUGGUCCUCUCAGUGCUUUCAUCAGAGAUGUAUCAGUGAUUGACCACGACUGUGGACAGAAAAAAGUCACCUGAGGCAUCCUUGGUUGAUCUCUUUCCUCACCUGCUUUGAUGACACGGCCCCGACCUUCGCUGACACAGGCGGCCGUGAAAGCCUUGUGGACACAGACAGAACCGCCCCCCCCAUCCUGGCUCACACGUGCACUGCCACGGCUGCUGGCAGGAGCCGUGCACACAGCCAGGCAUGAGCACGCAGCGGUCGCAGUGUUCACCGCCCCAGCCGGGGUCACACCUGGACAGGACGGCAGGAAAAUGAAGAAAGAAGCAGAGAGGGACGAUAAAGGUGCAGUCACUUCCUGCAGGAGACAGGAAACAGUGAUGGAUGAGUGGAUGAAACAUCGUCAGAAGAUUAGGCUGGAGAAGCACGUCAGACCAAAACAUGAACCGCAGUUCAGUUAUCGCAGAGGAACGGACAUGAACUUUGUUGAGCCAGAGAAGCGACCAAAUGGGAGAAUCGGUUUCUGUGGUGCCAUGAGAGUAAGCACAGCAGCAGGCGCCUCCACACACGACUGCAUGUGACUCAGCGUCUGCCAGAGGUCAGAGGUCAGCUUCAAGCACCCCAGAGUGAGCAGGAGGACUCACCAUGACGGAGGACAACCAGCUGCUUCAAGUCCCGCUCUGAUCACCAUUGGAUCUAUUUUCUGGUUAUGAUGAUGCUGUUUUAACCAAAAUCAAAAAUCUUCUCGUUUUCUAGGACAGAUUCUGCAAGUGUUCAUUAGAAAUUCACCUCUGAGUUGUGGGCGGGACUGUUGCGGAAAGUGACCAGGUGAGGUGUCGUGGGCCUACCUUGACCUGCAGAAGGCGGGAUGUGGAGGACGAAGCAGCAGCCCAGGAGCAGCAGGACGCCUCCGGCUCGGACCGGCGCCAUGCGGGCUGCAGUGAGGAUGGCGGC